CCUACGGGAGGCAGCAGUGGGGAAUUUUGGACAAUGGGCGCAAGCCUGAUCCAGCAAUGCCGCGUGAGUGAAGAAGGCCUUCGGGUUGUAAAGCUCUUUUGUCAGGGAAGAAACGGUUGAGGCUAAUAUCCUCGGCUAAUGACGGUACCUGAAGAAUAAGCACCGGCUAACUACGUGCCAGCAGCCGCGGUAAUACGUAGGGUGCAAGCGUUAAUCGGAAUUACUGGGCGUAAAGCGUGCGCAGGCGGUUUUUGUAAGUCUGUCGUGAAAGCCCCGGGCUUAACCUGGGAAUUGCGAUGGAGACUGCAAGGCUUGAAUCUGGCAGAGGGGGGGUAGAAUUCCACGUGUAGCAGUGAAAUGCGUAGAGAUGUGGAGGAACACCGAUGGCGAAGGCAGCCCCCUGGGUCAAGAUUGACGCUCAUGCACGAAAGCGUGGGGAGCAAACAGGAUUAGAUACCCUGGUAGUCCACGCCCUAAACGAUGUCUACUAGUUGUCGGGUCUUAAUUGACUUGGUAACGCAGCUAACGCGUGAAGUAGACCGCCUGGGGAGUACGGUCGCAAGNUUAAAACGUCAAAUGAAUUGACGG
rnacentral:rRNA from 1 species